rnacentral:rRNA from 1 species
GACGAACGCUGGCGGCGUGCUUAACACAUGCAAGUCGAGCGAUGAAGCUCCUUCGGGAGUGGAUUAGCGGCGGACGGGUGAGUAACACGUGGGUAACCUGCCUCAUAGAGGGGAAUAGCCUUCCGAAAGGAAGAUUAAUACCGCAGAAGAAUGUAGUGUCGCAUGAUGCAGCAAUUAAAGGAGUAAUCCGCUAUGAGAUGGACCCGCGUCGCAUUAGCUAGUUGGUGAGGUAACGGCUCACCAAGGCGACGAUGCGUAGCCGACCUGAGAGGGUGAUCGGCCACAUUGGGACUGAGACACGGCCCAGACUCCUACGGGAGGCAGCAGUGGGGAAUAUUGCACAAUGGGGGAAACCCUGAUGCAGCAACGCCGCGUGAGUGAUGACGGUCUUCGGAUUGUAAAGCUCUGUCAUCAGGGACGAUAAUGACGGUACCUGAGGAGGAAGCCACGGCUAACUACGUGCCAGCAGCCGCCGUAAUAC